rnacentral:rRNA from 1 species
UACGUAGGGUGCAAGCGUUGUCCGGAAUUAUUGGGCGUAAAGAGCUCGUAGGCGGUUUGUCGCGUCUGCUGUGAAAACUCGGGGCUUAACUCCGGGCCUGCAGUGGGUACGGGCAGACUAGAGUGCGGUAGGGGAGAUUGGAAUUCCUGGUGUAGCGGUGGAAUGCGCAGAUAUCAGGAGGAACACCAAUGGCGAAGGCAUAUUUCUGGGCCGUAACUGACGCUGAGGAGCGAAAGCGUGGGGAGCGAACAGG